rnacentral:misc_RNA from 1 species
GAUGAAGAACGUAGCGAAAUGCGAUAAGUAGUGUGAAUUGCAGAAUUCAGUGAAUCAUCGAAUCUUUGAACGCUCAUUGCGCCCCUUGGUAUUCCAUGGGGCAUGCCUGUUCGAGCGUCAUUUGUACCUUCAAGCUCUGCUUGGUGUUGGGUGUUUGUCUCGCCUCUGCGUGUAGACUCGCCUCAAAACAAUUGGCAGCCGGCGUAUUGAUUUCGGAGCGCAGUACAUCUCGCGCUUUGCACUCAUAACGACGACGUCCAAAAGUACAUUUUUACACUCUUGACCUCGGAUCAGGUAGGGAUACCCGCUGAACUUAAGCAUAUCAAUAAGCGGAGGA